CGAUAUCGACGAGUUUGACCUGGCUCAGAUUGAACGCUGGCGGCAUGGUUAAAGCAUGCAAGUCGAACGCGAACCACCUUCGGGUGGGGAAAGUGGCGAAAGGGCGAGGAAUACGAUCGAAUGUGCCCCGAGGUGGGGGAUAGCGUCGAGAAAUCGGCGGUAAUACCCCAUGUGCUCUACGGAGGAAAGGUUUACCGCCUUGGGAGCAGCGAUCGUCCUAUCAGGUAGUUGGUGGGGUAAUGGCCUACCAAGCCGAAGACGGGUAGCGGGUGUGAGAGCAUGACCCGCCGCAUCGGAACUGAGACACUGUCCGGACUCCUACGGGAGGCCGCAGCGACGAAUAUUCCGCAAUGGGCGAAAGCCUGACGGAGCAAUGCCGCGUGUGGGAUGAAGCGCCUUCGGCGUGUAAACCACUGUCAGGUCCUAGGAACACUGACCAGGACCAGAGGAAGGGCCGGCUAACCUCGUG
rnacentral:rRNA from 1 species